UGAUGCAUUUAAUUGGGAAGCAACGAGGUGGAGAAUUAAUAGAAGAGCACCGACCCACAUUUGGUUUGGCUUUGGAGGGAGGUGCACAAGGGAGCUGGAUGAAACGUGAGAGCAUCCACUUACACGCUUUUGGUUGGGCUUUUAAAAAUAUUUGUUUGGAAGAAGAGCAGUAGCAGUUUGGUGUCAAGGGGAGAGAGUUGGGACGUGGAAGUGGGAGGCCACGCACAUCAAGGACACGACCAAGGAUUAAGUGCUACUGCCACCUCUUAAAGGUCCAGCGGCUUGGAGAAUAAGGCACGGUCCAUCAGCAACUUGGAGAGCUUCACACGUCCAGGAGAGAAGCGGUCCAGCAGGGGUGACGAACAGCAAAGCAAGUCCAGCAGCGUCCAAAAUUCACGUUUCCAGCAGCCCACGUGGAAAUGGAGGGGGUACGCGGAUUCGGAGGUCUAGCAGCUUGGAAGUGGUGUGAGUAUUGGAGAAUAGGGUGACGGGCAGCAAGCACGGGAGGCACUCUUGGUCCAGCUUGUAGACGGCAUCCAGCCACCGAGAUGGAGAGAGUUUUUAUUAGGGAUGGUAUGUAGAUAAAGGAGGGACGCGCACACGUUGAGAAAACCAGCCGCCACAGUAGAAAGAGAGGGAGAACCACCGAGAGAAAUGUAGUGCACACGGUGUCACGGCUAAUUCCAGGAGGGGAGAGCAGUCACCCACUGGGGGUCUCUCUCGGUUAUAUCUUCUACUCCAACGGUGUGCACGGUGAUGAUAAAAUUGGAGAGGCCCACACGGUUUGUUUUAUUUUCUUUCUUCACGCGUGGAUCAAGG
rnacentral:sRNA from 1 species